rnacentral:rRNA from 1 species
UACAGAGGGGGCGAGCGUUGUUCGGAAUUACUGGGCGUAAAGGCGCGUAGGCGGCCUUCUAAGUCGAACGUGAAAUCCCCGGGCUCAACCCGGGAACUGCGUCCGAUACUGGGAGGCUUGAAUCCGGGAGAGGGAUGUGGAAUUCCAGGUGAUAGCGGUGAAAUGCGUAGAUAUCUGGAGGAACACCGGUGGCGAAGGCGGCAUCCUGGACCGGCAUUGACGCUGACGGCGGCGAAAGCCAGGGGAGCAAACGGG